UACAAAUUUUGAAAAAUCAACGCAAUUUUAUAGGUGGUUGAAAUUUGCACUUCAUUUGACUAAAAUAGUAUGGGCUAUAAACCUGCAUACCCAAAAAUAUUCUAAAUAGUCAGAUCAAAAGGUUAGAAUUUUGAUGAAAGUUUGUCGAAUUCAAACGAACGUUGCUUCAAAGUGUCGCAAAACAAACAAAAAAGGCCCAAAUGGAGAAAAAUGCCCAAAUUUACGAAGCUGGCAACCGCGAUCUUUCCAAUUCAUUUCAUGUUCUUCUUUGGCCCGCUAAAGCAACUCUGCAACUCCAAAAUGUUCCGAAUGAAAUGUGUUUAUCACCUUGUACUUCCUGUAGUUCAGUACAAUGACUUCCGGUAGUGCAUUCCAAUGACAUUCCAAAUUCCACACAGUCGAUGACAUUUCUGUUUUCUAGUUGUCAGUUGUUCGUGUAGCCAGAAAGAGUCUGUCGUCUGUCUAUCAAAUAUGGCGUUCGUGUCAAGUGUUUUCUUUUGUACGUCGCUAAUUUACCUGCUAAAAAAUUGUGAAAAAGUGCAAUAAAAUACUAAAUUUAUUUGCAAAAACUUAAUCAGUACUCGUCCAAAACCAUCAGACACGAUUUGUGUAUACGUUAAAUGUAUUAGUGUUUGAAUUUAAUGUGAAAAUUAGCAAAUUUAAAGCGUUGAAACACAACAAGAAAAAUUUGCCAAAACAGCGAUAAAAUCGAUUCAUAAAACAGUGAAGGAAUAUACACAUACAUACAUAUGUACAUAAGCGUGCCAUGGCGCAAUUGAAGUAAAUAAAGCCUGUUUGCUGUAUAAGUACAUAUGUAUGUGUAAAAAAGAAACAACUAAACCACAAUAGUAAAGAAAUAAAAAUGAAAAAAAAUUAAAAGAAUAUAAGUGCAAAAAUAUUUCAAGCAAAACGCAGAAAGUGUAUUCCAUUCAAAUUCCACUUGAUUUUUGUGUAAUACUAGGAGAAUGUGUAAGGUGCGGCGCAGUGCUUAGAGCGCUUUGAGCCGCAUACGAAGCAAAAGUUAAUAGAAAAUUUGCUGAUUGUUAACGCGUCACAAGGUUCCAACGCCGUCAUCGUUAGCGGUCCGUAAAGCCGUCGCGUGGUCUGUCUUUCUCUCCGCAUUUAUCGUUCAUCGUUACCGUCAUUCAUAUCGUCAACAACGCGUUGUUUCCGUUGCCGUCAAAGUCGACAACAAUUCGAACAUUCACCAGGCUCUUUCUUGUCUAGCUAAAGCUUUGAGCCACUGAAACGUAUUCAAAAGGAUAAGUAUAUACACGAACGUGUUCACUCACCGUACUCCCUCAACGCCCAAGCGUUAGAAUAAUCGUCCUUUGGAGGACGUCACCAGCAGCACAGCAACGUCACUAACAGCACGCAAAAGAAAAACUCUUUUUAGAGUAUAACCUUGUUUUUUUUUUUUUUUAAUUUCUGCUGCUGCCACCAUUCCAUUCAUUGUGGCACUCAAACCACAUAGCCACAAAGCAAAUAGGAAACAUUCGCGUGUACAUAAAGGCUCACAUUGACGACAACGUGGAGAGUGUAAACCGGUUCAUACCGAGAGGAAUACAAACUUACUCAUACGUACACCAUGUCAACCGAUAAGAUCAAAGUUGCUGUGAGGGUGCGACCCUUCAAUCGUCGCGGUAAAUCGAAUUGGG